CAGCAGCCGCGGUAAUACAGGGGAUGCGAGUGUUAUCCGGAAUUAUUGGGCGUAAAGCGCUUGCAGGUGGAUAUUUAAGUCUUUUGUUAAAUCUUUAAGCUCAACUUAAAAAAUGCAAAAGAAACUAAUUAUCUAGAGUAUGGUAGAGGUAAAGGGAAUUUCCAGUGGAGCGGUGAAAUGCGUAGAGAUUGGAAAGAACACCAAGGGCGAAGGCACUUUACUGGGCCGGCACUGACACUGAGGGGCGAAAGCUAGGGGAGCAAACAGGAUUAGAUACCCUGGUAGUCCUAGCUGUAAACGAUGGAUACUAGAUGUUGAACAUUUUUUUGUGCAGCGUCGUAGCUAACGCGUUAAGUAUCCCGCCUGGGAAGUAUGCUCGCAAGAGUGAAACUCAAAGGAAUUGACGG
rnacentral:rRNA from 1 species